GACGAACGCUGGCGGCGUGCCUAAUACAUGCAAGUCGAGCGAGUCGGCGGUUGGUUGAGAAACGCGUGGGUAACCUGGCCAUAAAUCUGGGAUACCAGUUGGAAACAGAUGCUAAUACCGGAUACUUAAGGAUGGACCUGCGAUGCAUUAGCUAGAUGGUACGGUAACGGCCUACCAAGGCGAUGAUGCAUAGCCGAGUUGAGAGACUGAUCGGCCACACUGGGACUGAGACACGGCCCAAACUCCUACGGGAGGCAGCAGUAGGGAAUAUUGCACAAUGGACGAAAGUCUGAUGGAGCAACGCCGCGUGAGUGAAGAAGGUCUUCGGAUCGUAAAGCUCUGUUGUUGGUGAAGCGGUAAUCAACCAGAAAGUCACGGCUAACUACGUGCCAGCAGCCGCGGUAAUUC
rnacentral:rRNA from 1 species